GUUAAUGUAGCUUAUAUUAAAGCAUAGCACUGAAAAUGCUAAGAUAGAUUUUAAAGCAUCUCAUGAACA
rnacentral:tRNA from 1 species